AUUGAACGCUGGCGGCAGGCUUAACACAUGCAAGUCGAGCGGGAAUAGGUAGCUUGCUACUGAAUUCUAGCGGCGGACGGGUGAGUAAAGCUUAGGAAUCUGCCAUUUAGUGGGGGACAACAUUCCGAAAGGGAUGCUAAUACCGCAUACGUCCUACGGGAGAAAGCAGGGGAUCACUUUUGACCUUGCGCUAAAUGAUGAGCCUAAGUCGGAUUAGCUAGUUGGUGGGGUAAAGGCCUACCAAGGCGACGAUCAGUAGCGGGUCUGAGAGGAUCUUCCGCCACACUGGGACUGAAACACGGCCCAGACUCCUACGGGAGGCAGCAGUUGGGAAUAUUGGACAAUGGGGGGAACCCUGAUCCAGCCAUGCCGCGUGUGUGAAGAAGGCCUUUUGGUUGUAAAGCACUUUAAGCGAGGAGGGGGCUCCUGUAGAUAAUACCUACAGAGAGUGGACGUUACUCGCAGAAUAAGCACCGGCUAACUCUGUGCCAGCAGCCGCCGUAA
rnacentral:rRNA from 1 species